rnacentral:lncRNA from 1 species
CUUUGCUUUUUUUCUCCACAGGCUUUCUCAGCAACCCCUCCACUUGCAGAGUGGAGAACAAUUGAACAUGCAAGGAUGUCUGCAGCACCAUGUACUGCAUGACCACGCUUAACUGGACGGAGCCCCACAAUCCAUACCAACAUCUCAUCUCAUCUGACCCUCGGCUGCUUUUCUUUGCAGGAAAGAUUGUAGCCCUUUCCACCUUGCGACAGCAGCUGCAUCUCAGUUUCCCUCUCUCAGAAAAGUGGUUUGACCCUAUAAGCAGAUUUCAAGACUUAUGUCCUCAAGAUAGACAACAAUUCAGGUCUUCAGACAACAAUUCAGGUCGUCAACUGCUUUCUUU